CUCAAGGAGACCUUUGAGAACCUGCGCCGAUUCCAGAUCAAGCUCAAUCCCGAGAAGUGCGUCUUCGGAGUACCAACCGGCCAACUCCUUGGCUUCCUGGUCUCUAAACGCGGCAUAGAAUGCAACCCCAUAAAGAUCAAGGCCAUUGAGAGGAUGAAGGUACCCAGCCGACUGCUGGACGUGCAAAAGUUCACCGACUGCUUGGUGUCCAUCAGCCGAUUCAUCAGUCGGCUGGGCGAGAAAGCUCUCCCCUUAUACCAGCUCAUGAAGAAGACCACUUUUUUCGAGUGGAACCACAAGGCG
rnacentral:rRNA from 1 species